rnacentral:rRNA from 1 species
AUUGAACGCUGGCGGCAUGCCUAACACAUGCAAGUCGAACGGCAGCACGGCAGUAGCAAUACUGUGGGUGGCGAGUGGCGGACGGGUGAGGAAUACGUCGGAAUCUGCCCAGGUCGUGGGGGAUAACUAGCCGAAAGGUUAGCUAAUACCGCAUACGACCGAGAGGUGAAAGCGGGGGACCGCAAGGCCUCGCGCGAUUGGAUGAGCCGACGUCGGAUUAGCUAGUUGUGGGUAAAGGCCACCAAGGCGACGAUCCGUAGCUGGUCUGAGAGGAUGAUCAGCCACACUGGAACUGAGACACGGUCCAGACUCCUACGGGAGGCAGCAGUGGGGAAUAUUGGACAAUAGGGUCGGCAAGCCUGAUCCAGCAAUGCCGCGUGUGUGAAGAA